rnacentral:rRNA from 1 species
AGCAGCCGCGGUAAUUCCAGCUCCAAUAGCGUAUAUUAAAGUUGUUGCAGUUAAAAAGCUCGUAGUUGAAUUUCGGGACUAAUCUGCCGGUCGUGCCUCCGGUAUGCACUGGUUUUAUUGGUUUCUCCCUUCUGACGAAUCAUGAUGUCAUUAAUUUGGUGUCAUGGGGAAUCAGGACUGUUACUUUGAAAAAAUUAGAGUGUUUAAAGCAGGCUCACGCUUGAAUACAUUAGCAUGGAAUAAUGAAAUAGGACGUUUGACCCUAUUUUGUUGGUUUCUAGGAUCGACGUAAUGAUUAAUAGGGAUAGUUGGGGGGCAUUAGUAUUCAAUUGUCAGAGGUGAAAUUCUUGGAUUUAUUGAAGACUAACUACUGCGAAAGCAUUUGCCAAGGAUGUUUUCAUUAAUCAAGAACGAAAGUUAGGGGAUCGAAGACGAUCAGAUACCGUCGUAGCCUUAACCAUAAACUAUGCCGACUAGGGAUCGGAUGAUGUUAAUUUUUUAAUGACUCAUUCGGCGCCUU